GACUCCUCCGGCUGCUGUGGCCUCCCCAGCCCGCAGCUCUCCGUACCCUCUCAGUUCCUUUCCGACUUUUCUAUAAAAUGCACUUCCUGCGAAAGCACAGGAAAAUAGGACGGCUCUGUCUCUCUGAUUCGUGGCUUUUAAUCUCCAGUUGUCCCAUGGGGCUCCAGGAUGAGAGCCGAUUCACGUCCACCCUAGCAGACAUGCAGCAUCACCCCAUGGAUUCUCUACAACGCAGCCACAUCUGAAACUGGACUCAUGGAAUGACAAGCUUGCUUGGAACACCAAACAACUGGCAACCACCAUCAAGAUGACCAAGUCAGUAGUGGAACCUCCCUCACGUUCACCAAAUAAAGCUGUUCAAAAAU